GACCCCCAUCACCUCCUCUCUCUCCCCGGCCUAGCCCCCGAGUCGUUAGCCCGCCGGAAGAGGAGAAAACUCGCCGGAGACGCCGGGAAGCUUUUUGCCGGAAAUCCCACCUCCGGCCACCAUAGGUCGGAAUCUUUGGCUCAUCUUGUAGCCCUCAUCAAAGUGAGUAUUCCCUCAAAUGGAAUUAGUCUAUUUCGUUGUUGUUAUGGAGAAAUGUAUAAUUGAAGUUUUUAGGGAUUUAUGGAAGUUUUGAUUCGUUUGCCCUAGUUAGCCUUAGAAAUGGACUAAGUGCUAGUUAUGAAUGUUGUUGAGCAUGAUGAAAGGAAUAUUCUGUGAAAAUUUGAGAAGCAUUGGCCCUCGCCGGAAUCCGGCUACCGGCCGCUGCCGCCCCUUAGGGGCAGUUUUUCAUGAUUUUGGGUUUGUUUUAAUGAGAGGAGUUUAAUGAAGUAUAGUUGGGAAUAUUUGGAGGAGAUUUGAUAAGGUCUGGGAUUUAUCAAUGAUAAAGGAUUUAGACGGUUAUUCGAAUGGAAAUCCGACAGUUGGUUUAGCAGGUUUUAAAGUCUAAAAAGGUUAAAUUAUGGUUUUCGGUAAGUGCGGAGUAAUGUGAGCCUUAUUAGGUAAUAAGUGGAGAAGUUGGACAAGAAAAAUGAAAAUUAUAGGCUUCCUUUUUAUUUCGGAAAUUUUAUUAAAGUUUUGUCCUGGUUUGGAGGCUUAAUGAUUAUUUAUUGUUCAGGACGUGAGGAGGAUCAUUUGGAGGAAGUCUCGGGCCGUCGGCAAGCAUAGCCUAGCACUGUGAGUAAACCUUUGAUUUUAAUAUCAUGCAUGCGCUAAAGUUAUUUAAUUUCAAAGGCAUUUGGAGAUAUAAUAUUUUGUUGGAUUAUCGAGCUCCACUUAUUUUUCCGGAACUCUAUUGCAAUUUUAGUUGACACGUGAGACGUAUCAAGUGAUUUAUAUUCUUUCCAUGUACAGUUGGGAACUGUACUAUGUGCUAUGAGUUUAUUAUAAUUUAUUCGGGGAAGUGUGGAUCUUUUUGUUUUAAUAUUGUAUUUCACCAUAAAAAGGGUUGAUAUAUAGAUUAUUGCUAGCUAACCUUAUUAGCGGUCCUCAUCAUAUGUGAGUCGUUAUUAUAGUCUUAUUAGCGGUUCUCAUCAUAUGUGAGUAGAGCGCUUAGCGUGGGACUCUAUUAUAGCCUGGGAGGCAACCGAUCGGUAUAUAUAUAUUUAUUGUUAGCUAGCCAUUAUUUAGCGGUCCUCAUCAUAUGAGAGUUGAGCGUUUAGUGUGGAACGCUAUUAUAGCCUUAUUAGCGGUCCUCAUCAUAUGUGAGUAGAGCGCUUAGCGUGGGACGCUAUUAUAACCUGGGAGGCUCAUUGUUAUGGUGAAACCUCUUCCCUAUUUUUAUUGAUUUAUUGGGAACCAAUGGGAUUGGUUCAUUAGUUUUGUCUAUAAUUAUUUUCGGAAAAAUUUUUAAGAAUGGCAUGCAUAAAUAUUUUCUCAAUGGAAAAUAUGGGAAAAGCAUUAAAUUGAUUUCAAUGCUUUAUCAUUAAGUCCGUAUUUUUAUUAUUUAUUUUGUCCACUCACUCUAACGUUUUAAAUGUUUUCCCCUGGGCCUUUCGUUUUAAAUGCCCAGUCUGCAGAGUUCUGUUCGGCGAGGGUAGGAGGCGGGUCAUAUUUCCCACCUCAUCCAGUUUUCUCUCAUAGGUUACUAGUUAACCUACCUAUGUAUUUCCUUCUUUCCUAGUAGAUGCUCUGAAUAACCAUGGGAUGUUUUGUCACAUCCCUACCCUUAUAUUUUUACCUUAUUUACUAGCGUGAUUAUAAUAAGAAUUUUACCGUCUCGAUCAUUGAGUAAAUAGUUUAAUUGGUCCCUAGAGGGGUUUCGGGGACGAUUAUGUGCGGAGGAUUAUUCGUAUGAGGAAAAUACGACGAUGGUAAAAAUAGUAAAUUUUAGCUAGUAAAAGGUAAUUUUUAUUCGGGUAUUAUUUUUCGGGGUGUUAAAUUUUGGAAUUUUGGGUUAAAAGGAGAGUUGGGUCGGCUGGGCCGAGCCCAACCCAUUUCUUCUUCUUUUCCCUUUCUCUCUCUCUCCCUCCCGUUUUCUCUCUUCCCACCCGAGUUUUUUCUCCCUCCACCCGGAAAACUUCGCCACCGCAGCCCGCCGCCGUCCGGCCACCAGCUGCCGCCGCUCCAGCCCAGAUCGGACCCCCGUCACCUCCUCUCCCUCCCCGGCCUAGCCCCCGAGCCUCUAACCCGCCGGAGAGGAGAAAAGCCGCCGGNNNNNNNNNNNNNNNNNNNNAAUUGCCCAG
rnacentral:lncRNA from 1 species